GACGAACGCUGGCGGCGUGCUUAACACAUGCAAGUCGAACGGUGAAGCGCCUUCCUUUUUGGUGGGUGUGGAUGAGUGGCGAACGGGUGAGUAACACGUGAGUAACCUGCCCCCUUCUUCUGGAUAACCGCAUGAAAGUGUGGCUAAUACGGGAUAUUCUGGGUCUGUCGGAUGAUGGGUCUGGGAAAGAUAUUGUUUCGGUGGGGGAUGGGCUCGCGGCCUAUCAGCUUGUUGGUGGGGUGAUGGCCUACCAAGGCGGUGACGGGUAGCCGGCCUGAGAGGGUGGACGGUCACACUGGGACUGAGACACGGCCCAGACUCCUACGGGAGGCAGCUGUGGGGAAUAUUGCACAAUGGGCGCAAGCCUGAUGCAGCGACGCCGCGUGAGGGAUGGAGGCCGUCGGGUUGUGAACCUCUUUCGCCAGUGAAGCAGGCCUGCCUCGUUUGUGGGUGGGUUGACGGUAGCUGGAUAAGAAGCGCCGGCUAACUACGUG
rnacentral:rRNA from 1 species